GAGCCUUCAACCGUGUUGAACCCUAUUUCUUUCUUUCUUUCUCUUACACCGUCGUUCUCUUCUAUCACCUUCUUCUUUGCGUCUCUCCAGUUUCUGCCCUAAUUUUGAAAUUGCAGGAGUUAUGGUGAAGGUUGGCACACUGCUACCACCAUUAUCUCUCCACUGCUAGAGUUUUAUUUUUAUUUUUGAUUCGUGUUUGUUCUCUCUUUUAGAGCCAGAUUUUUGGUGGAAUGUGGUCUUCAAAUCCUAGAGGCUUUGCACGAUGAGUGAUAAGCAUGAUUUUUGAAGUGUUCUUACCCCGACAAGGUACAGUUGAUGGGAGGCUUGAGAAGAGAGCGUGGGCGUUGAAAUCAAAUUGGAGCUAGUGAACAAUAGGGUAAUCUGCAUCUGUAUUUUGUCUUACUUUUGCUGGCUUCAAAAUAAAGGGUUGCCAUAUUUUUUUUGUCCCUAGACUCUUUUGUGUUCAGAUUCGAGACAGAUUUAGAGUUUCAGCUUGUAGACCGAAGAUCCAAGUUGUGAUGUAAUUAUUUGAAAUUUCAAUUCUAUGUUAACCAUAAACUGAUUGAUCGAAGAAUUUGAACUUUUAAAUA